CAAGGUUAAAACUCAAAGGAAUUGACGGGGGCCCGCACAAGCGGUGGAGUAUGUGGUUUAAUUCGAUGAUACGCGAGAAACCUUACCUGGUCUUGACAUGUAGAGAAGUUCAAGAGAUUGGAUGUGCCUGCUUGCAGGAGCUCUAACACAGGUGGUGCAUGGUUGUCGUCAGCUCGUGUCGUGAGAUGUUGGGUUAAGUCCCGCAACGAGCGCAACCCUUGUUACUAGUUGCCAGCACGUAAUGGUGGGGACUCUAGUGAGACUGCCGGUGACAAACCGGAGGAAGGUGGGGAUGACGUCAAAUCAUCACGCCCCUUACGACCAGGGCCACACACGUACUACAAUGCCCGGUACAAUGAGCCGCCAGGCCGCGAGGCCGAGCAAAUCUCAAAAACCGGGCCAAGUUCGGAUCGGAGAUUGCAACUCAUCUCCGUGAAGCUGGAAUCGCUAGUAAACGCAAAUCAGCAUGUUGCGUUGAAUACGUUCUCGGGCCUUGUACACACCGCCCGUCACACCAUGGGAGCCAGUAACACCCGAAGCCGGUGAGCUAACUUAACGGAGGCAGCUGUCGAAGGUGGGAUUGGUG
rnacentral:rRNA from 1 species